CUUCUCUAAACUCACCCCCGUGCUGCUGGAAUGACCUGAAAUUUCACAUUCUCCCCCAACAUGCAGAGAAAGCUGCUGACUUCACUCCCCUGCCUAGGAGCCAAUGCUGUGCUUCUCACACCUCUGCUUCAGCCCUGAGCAGUUUCUACCUCAACCCAGCUGAUGUUCCAUAUAAGCCCUGAUGCCCACAAUUCCCAUUGAAGGGACAGUUAACCCUGCCCAUCCAUAACGCCACCGACAGCUGCCUGCUCUUUCCUGCUCUUGGGGGCUGCUCUGCUCCCCACACCGCUGUCUGUGGCUCACCUGAGGAGAUCACCAGCUACUCAAGACCACUGCCAUUGGAUGCCAACAGCUGCAGCUCAUCGGCCUACGGUUGUUUCUGAUGAAGUGCCUUUCAGAUCAGAACAUGCCAAUCUGUCAAACCCAAGACUUUUGAUGGGGCGAGAGAGUUCAACCAACUCCCUCCAGUUUUAAAUUCCACUUUUGUUUUUAAAAUUAAACCACUGGUAAUAAAAGAACAAAACACAAAGCAGAAGUCAAUAUUGAAAUCAAAUGUUUCAGCUGAUGUUAGAGGAAAAGGAUUCAGAACUUGGGUUUUCAUUUUGCAAAAAUUUUCAAAAUUCUGGCUGUUGGCCCAAUUUUUAAACCCAGGUUCGGUUAAAAAAAAAUCCUGAAAAUGUUCACAGGAUAGGAAAGCCAUUUCCUGCCAACUCUAUAUUGGCUUACAGUUCUGACGCAUGCAAGCUGGAUUUGAAUUAGCAGAUUAGGCCCAGAUCCAAAAAGGGACCUAGGUACUUAAAGUGGGACUGAGGUAUGUGAGGCCCAGACAAAGGUCCUCCUCAGUCCCUGGAAACCACUGAGUUUUCAAAAUUAGUAAUUCUGCUUUGGAGAAUGCCUGAAAGCACCUUAGCUUUGACAUGCAGUUCCAUGCCCAUGUCCUUUCUUCACCUUCAUCCCUACUUCCCCAGGAUCUCCUGGAGCAUGGCCACCAAAGCCAGGGCCCUUCAAACAUGCAACGGCAACUCCACUUUCUUCCAAAACACAAACAGAGGAAGAGGUGGUACCACCUUAUCAUACAAUAGCUCAGUGCUUGGAGCACACACCCAAGGCAGAGCUGGUUUCCCUCAGCUCGUGAGGACUCAGCCCUGCACUGCAGAAGGUGCCCUGGCCAGAGCCCUCCCUCUUCUUCCCCCUGCACUUCAGCUGCAGGCAAAAAAAAAAAAAAAAAAAAAAAAAAAAAAAAAAAAAAAAAGGAAAAAAAAAAGAGAAAGAAA